rnacentral:rRNA from 1 species
CAGUCGCCGCGGUAAUACGAAGGGUGCAAGCGUUAAUCGGAAUUACUGGGCGUAAAGCGUGCGUAGGCGGUUUGUUAAGUCUGCUGUGAAAUCCCCGGGCUCAACCUGGGAAUGGCAGUGGAUACUGGCUCGCUAGAGUGUGUCAGAGGAUGGUGGAAUUCCCGGUGUAGCGGUGAAAUGCGUAGAGAUCGGGAGGAACAUCAGUGGCGAAGGCGGCCAUCUGGGACAACACUGACGCUGAGGCACGAAAGCGUGGGGAGCAAACAGGAUUAGAUACCCCUGUAGUCCCUGUCUCUUAUAC